rnacentral:rRNA from 1 species
AUUGAACGCUGGCGGCAGGCCUAACACAUGCAAGUCGAGCGGAUGAGAGGAGCUUGCUUCUCGAUUCAGCGGCGGACGGGUGAGUAAUGCCUAGGAAUCUGCCUAGUAGUGGGGGACAACGUUUCGAAAGGAACGCUAAUACCGCAUACGUCCUACGGGAGAAAGUGGGGGAUCUUCGGACCUCACGCUAUUAGAUGAGCCUAGGUCGGAUUAGCUAGUUGGUAGGGUAAAGGCCUACCAAGGCGACGAUCCGUAACUGGUCUGAGAGGAUGAUCAGUCACACUGGAACUGAGACACGGUCCAGACUCCUACGGGAGGCAGCAGUGGGGAAUAUUGGACAAUGGGCGCAAGCCUGAUCCAGCCAUGCCGCGUGUGUGAAGAAGGCCCUCGGGUCGUAAAGCACUUUAAGUUGGGAGGAAGGGCUUACAGCGAAUACCUGUGAGUUUUGACGUUACCGACAGAAUAAGCACCGGCUAACUUCGUGCCAGCCGCCGCCGUAA